GUGCUUGCUUCGGCAGCAUAUAUACUAAAAUUAAAUACAGAGAAAAUUAGUGUGGCCCCUGCACAAGGAUGACAAAUUUGUGAAGCCUUCCAUAUUAAA
rnacentral:snRNA from 1 species